GCAAGUCGCACGAGAACUCUUCUGCUUGCAGAAGAUAGUAAAGUGGCGCACGGGUGAGUAACGCGUGGGUAAUCUACCUCCGAAUCGGGGAUAACCCGCCGAAAGGCGAGCUAAUACCGGAUAAUAUCUUUGAAACAUCGGUUUUUUAGAUCAAAGGUGGCCUCUACAUGUAAGCUACUGUUUGGAGAUGAGCCCGCGUACCAUUAGCUUGUUGGUAGGGUAAUGGCCUACCAAGGCUUCGAUGGUUAGCUGGUCUGAGAGGAUGAUC
rnacentral:rRNA from 1 species